rnacentral:rRNA from 1 species
CACGUAGUUAGCCGGUGCUUCUUUACCCACUACCGCCACACAAAGCUUCGUCAUGAGCGAAAGCGGUUUACAACCCGAAGGCCGUCAUCCCGCACACGGCGUUGCUGCAUCAGGCUUCCACCCAUUGUGCAAUAUUCCCCACUGCUGCCUCCCGUAGGAGUCUGGGCCGUAUCUCAGUCCCAAUGUGGCCGGUCACCCUCUCAGGCCGGCUACCCGUCAAAGCCUUGGUAAGCCACUACCCCACCAACAAGCUGAUAAGCCGCGAGUCCAUCCCCAACCGCCGAAACUUUCCAACCCCACCAUGCAGCAGGAGCUCCUAUCCGGUAUUAGCCCCAGUUUCCCUGAAGUUAUCCCAAAGUCAAGGGCAGGUUACUCACGUGUUACUCACCCGUUCGCCACUCGAGUACCCCCCGAAAGACGGCCUUUCCGUUCGACUUGCAUGUGUUAAGCACGCCGCCAGCGUCGUCUGAGCCAGGAGUCAACUACU